AUUCAUUCAUUGACUCUGGAAAUAAGCGUGAGCUAGCCUCAAGUAACUUAUGGUCUGUGUUUAUAAAGAGACGUACGGAAACGUAGUGCGCCCUCGUUUCUUUCAUUUAUUGACUCUGGAAGUAAGCGUGAGCUUACAUCAGGUCACCUUUAUGUGAUUUGAAUGCGGGGCAUAAGAAUCCCUUGUGUGUUGAUGGUGAUUGGCCUGGUGAUGCAGUCUUCAGAGUGUUGAAUGAGUUGAGAACGAAUUAGGUAACAAGUAUUAUUUAGUUUUUAUUUAUUUAUAUGUUUGAAGGUGGUUGUUUUCAUGAAAGUUUGUUUUGUAGGUUUCUUUUAAAGAAGAACCGUCUGGUUGAUUUAUUCUUCCCUUUUCUUAAAUCCAGUUAAUUUAAAGGUAUUUGAUUAGAUUAAAUAAUUUGAUUUAUGCAAAUGUGUAUUUCAGUUAUUAAUAAAAGGUUUUUAUUUUGCAGGAUUAGCACGACUAUUGUUACUAUUUGUUUUCUUUUCUUUCUUUUUUUCUGGUGAAUUACCCUAAUUUUCCUUUUUGAUGUUGUGUAUUCAUAUUAUUGUAUAUUUUCAACUGAUACUUUUUUCUUUGUUUUUUGUUUUUUCCUUUUAGUUUUUCAUUAUUUCCGUGGCAGCUGCAGGGUCUCCUCCAAGGGUGUGACUGGCACUGGUGAGGUGGUGGGCAUUCUUUUGUGAUUCCUGGUGAUUUAUUUAUCCUUUUGAGUGCCGUGGAUUUUGUGCUGUAUUUAGAGUGUGCAUUGCAAGUAGUGGCUCUAUUUUUCUACACACGUAUGGUUGUACCCUGUUGGAACCCUGCGGUUCGUCAUACAUUUGUUUUGUUUUUGUUUCCCCUUGCUGAAUGUGUACCAGUGUUCUAAACAUUUAAUUGUUUUUAUACAAAAUUUGGUAUUUAUUAAUGUGAAUAAAAGCUUGUACAAGCAAUACAUUUUCACUACAGUCUGUGGCCAGUUAUUCACCCACUUGUGGUGGGUUUCAUUUGUAUUAAAUCUUUUGAUCGCUUGUGGUCGUGGCAUUUGUGUGUUGCUCUCAGUAAUAGCGACAAUAGCAGGUGUGUGAAAGCUGGCCGGUAGACUGAGCUACGGCACCUGUUGUGAGUAACAGCUGUGGGAACCAAACACCAGACGCACAGCUGUAUGUUCAACCCAUCGUAAGUAUGGCUCUCCCUUUUUCACAUUUGGGGUUCUGUGAAUUUAGGUAAAUUAAAGGUAAAGGGAGAAUGCAACCUUUAAUUUUUAUUAAAGGUAAAGGGAGAAUGGAACAUCAAGAUCUUUAAGCCCAAUUCCUAGCCAAAGACUGCAUUUGACGCUGCUGCUAUUUUGCUUACAGGUAUUUUCUUUGUUUUUUUUUUGUUUUUUGUUCGUGUUGCGUACAGGCAUCUGUGCUGUUUGUUUACGGCUUUGCUGCUUUGCGAGUCGCUUGGGCUGCUAGCUUCCGAGCAUUGCGUCCGCGGGGCUGCCUACCAGUUUCAUUUUGGAUUGUUUACAAAUAUAGUUUUUUAUUUGUUUCUUUUGGGCUUUGCGCUGGGUUUUUACUUUUUUUGUGAUUUGGUUUCUUUUGCUAACAGUGAGUUAUUUUGUUGCUAUUUUGGUUUUGUGUUUAUUCUUUGUGGUGGUUUUUGUUUGUUUGGUUUUGAUCUAUUUUGCAGCUUUAUUAUAUUAAUUUACUUUUUCUCUUUGCCAUGUAUUGUGUUAUUGUAAAGUGUUUUCUUUUUCGUUCACUUUCUUGUUGUUCUAGUGCCACUCAGGCAUUUUUUACUUUUGCAUGUGGUGUCAUCUGGAGGCCUGAGUGCUAUAGCUGCCACAACAGUGUCUGCCACUUAUUUUGGUGGUUUGUUUCUCCUUAUUAUCAAUAUUCAAUGUAAUUCUCUUUUGAACUCCCUUAUUAAUGUGUUCUUUUUCUUUCUCCAGGAGCCAGUGAGGACUCAUGUGGAACAGGGGAGGCUAGCUGCUUUCAUUCGGUGGUGUGUGCUUCAGUGUGCUGACACAGAUUCCUUAGAGUGUGUGUGCGUGGUGUCUGAUUUGGUGUGAAUUGAGGUAGGUUUGGACGACCUCCUGAGUUGCAGCCAGCCUGCCUCGUUCCUGCUAAUCCUGGCCCUGGAGAAUUAUUUCUAUCAUUUUGUGUGUUUUAUGAGAGAGAGCAUUUUAUUGAUGCAGGUGAUUUUAUAAUAAAGUAUAUUUUGUAUUGAUA